AUGAUUUAAGGCCAGUUUAUUUUAAAUUGUUUAGUCAAAUCAAACUGAAAGUCAAAAGUAGAAAUUUUGAGUUUAAUAGCGCCAUCUAUUGACUAUAAUAUUAAGUUUUAAGGAUUGUUGAUUAUCAUGAUUAAUGAUAUUGCUAUUAAUAUUGUAACGAUUAAGGUUGAGAUGGCGAUGAAGGUUGUCACUCCCUAUUAAGACCAACACGAAAGGCAAAGGCACUAAUAUGAGAUACAACUUUAUUGAGGGGUGUAUUGGAUUCGACAGCGUGUGCGUAUUUGAUAACAUGGGGCACAUUGAGGUAAAUAUUAAUCAUUGAUAAUCAGUGAAUGGCCAGAGUUGGAUAGAGAUUUGAUCAAGGAUAUGGGUGAGAAAAAGAUUUAGAAGUAGAUUCUGUUAAUCGUGAAUUUCCUCCUGAAAUAUCAAUAGACUUUUAACGUCUUAUCGUGCCAAAUCACCAAACAAUAAACUCACACAAAUAUCAGCUCAAAUGAUUAAAUAAAAUUUUAUCAGAUUUAGGUUCGAUUCUGAGACUUAUCAAAAGUCCAAUCUAAUACAUUUGUAAAUCGAAAAACAAAGGAAAGAAAAGGUUACAAAUUUGACUAAUUCUGUAAAUUGUGACUGCAAUUAAUUUUCAACUAUUGCUGACAUUUUAGACAACAGUUAAUAGAUUUUAAAUUUUUGCUAUUCGAGUUGUUAAUUAAUAUCUUAGCAACAAACCAGUAUCAUAGAAGUGCUGGAAAUUUGAAAAUUUAUCUUUUUGACUAAACAUUAAUAAUUGUAUUUAGAGAAACCAAUAUUUUUGAUGAUUCGAGCACCCAGUGACCCAUGAUUUUUAGCAGUGUUCAACAUGUUUGAUCAACUUGUAAUAUCAUAUCAAAUGGUGAAGUUAAACUACUGCAGAAAUCGCAGAAACAAUACAAUUUACAACUCUUUAAUCGAGGCCUAAUCGUUUAUUGGUUAAAGUGUACACUUAAAGAAGGAUUAAAUCUAAAUCCUAUGACAACUUAUGCUUCAGUGAAGGCUCUAUGGCUAAUGAUUUACUGAAAGCUUGAAAAGUCCAUGUGAUGUAUUUUAUGAUGGACCACCUGAUUGCUUUGAACCAUCGGAAUCAAGAAACAAGUAUCAUAUUUUACUCAAAGUGACUAAAUUUGUUCCUUCAUUCGACUCGUAAUUAAAGUUUUAUGGCAAUUGUGA